ACGAACGCUGGCGGCGCGCCUCACACAUGCAAGUCGAACGAGCGAGAGAGAGCUUGCUUUCUCGAGCGCGUGGCGAACGGGUGAGUAACGCGUGAGGAACCUGCCUCAAAGAGGGGGACAACAGUUGGAAACGACUGCUAAUACCGCAUAAGCCCACGGCUCGGCAUCGAGCAGGGGGAAAAGGAGCAAUCCGCUUUGAGAUGGCCUCGCGUCCGAUUAGCUAGUUGGUGAGGUAACGGCCCACCAAGGCGACGAUCGGUAGCCGGACUGAGAGGUUGAACGGCCACAUUGGGACUGAGACACGGCCCAGACUCCUACGGGAGGCAGCAGUGGGGAAUAUUGCACAAUGGGGGAAACCCUGAUGCAGCGACGCCGCGUGGAGGAAGAAGGUCUUCGGAUUGUAAACUCCUGUUGUUGGGGAAGAUAAUGACGGUACCCAACAAGGAAGUGACGGCUAACUACGUG
rnacentral:rRNA from 1 species